rnacentral:rRNA from 1 species
UACAGAGGGUGCGAGCGUUAAUCGGAAUUACUGGGCGUAAAGCGCGCGUAGGCGGCUUUGCAAGUCGAGUGUGAAAUCCCCCAGGCUUAACCUGGGAACUGCAUUCGAGACUGCAUAGCUAGAGUAUGGGAGAGGGAAGUGGAAUUUCAGGUGUAGCGGUGAAAUGCGCAGAUAUCAGGAGGAACACCGGUGGCGAAGGCGGGUCUCUGGGCCGAUACUGACGCUGAGGAGCGAAAGCGUGGGGAGCGAACAGG